rnacentral:rRNA from 1 species
GACGUAGGGUGCGAGCGUUGUCCGGAUUUAUUGGGCGUAAAGGGCUCGUAGGCGGCCAACUAAGUCGGACGUGAAAUCCCUCGGCUUAACCGGGGAACUGCGUCCGAUACUGGAUGGCUCGAGUAUGGGAGAGGGAUGCGGAAUUCCAGGUGUAGCGGUGAAAUGCGUAGAUAUCUGGAGGAACACCGGUGGCGAAGGCGGCAUCCUGGACCAUUACUGACGCUGAAUAGCGAAAGCCAGGGGAGCAAACGGG